rnacentral:lncRNA from 1 species
AUGUGUCACGGACCACACUCCGUCUUAUAGGGUAAUGAUCGGACCAUACUUAAGUCACAUAGCCUCGAGUUAAGUAAAAUAACUUAAGUUUAUUAAUCAUAAAAGAGUUGCACAAGCGUUACAUCCGUCAAAUGUAAAAUAUAAACAUAUGUAAGAGACUCUAAAUUUUCUUACUUAGAUUACUAAAUAAAAGUACAAAACAGUAACCUUAGUAUCAGAGUCUAGCUUCAGAAAUCUCCUCUGUAUCACCGCUCACUCUGCAGCGGUACUUUCAGUAUCUGGGGGGUGAUAGAAGUGAGAUAAAACAUUCCAAUAAGCAGUAUUAUGAAAUUACAGCAUAGUACAUGCAACAUAUAGUUUUUUUACAUACAACAAAACAUAUAUCAUAUGAUCUUUCAAAAACAUAUACGAAUCAAAAGACGAAAGUACAAAACAAAAAAUAGAUGCAUGUUGUAUACUUCAUCACUAUAUGGAGGAUCAAUCAGUUACUAUACAUCAUGCGUAGGCACAGAUACUCAUUGGUUCCCCAUGUACCCAAACACGGAACGGCAUAUAUGAGUACCUUGAAACACUGCUACCCCCCGACCAUGGAAUGGUUAGAGCACGUAGAUCAAACUAUUUUUCCAUACACCAAACAUGGAAUGGUUAUAUAUGGGUACACACUUAUCACUUCACCAAUACACCCAAACAUGGAAUGGUUAUGUACGACAAGAUUGAAGCCCAGCAUAAUAUAGGUGCUUUCAGAAUAAUUUAUUUCCAUAAUGAGUGAUGCACAUAUAUUAAAAUCACAUUUCAAAAACCCAAAGUGAAAUAACACUUACAUCAAAGUAAAACUUUAACAAAUACUACGGAAGACAAAUUAAACAUGUGCACAUUUUUAAGCUGAAAAUACAUAAAAUACUUCAAAACUACGUAGGCUAUGAAUCCAUAAUAUCCACUUACCUUAGGUCUUUAGCAGUAGUAAUCUUAAUUCCAACAGAGUUCUAACUUUAUUUACGACUUUUUCCUCUAAAUAAUUUGGCAGAGUUUCAGGAUGAUUUUUGGUCACUUUCUUAACUCAAAAAUAUCCAACACAAUACUCAAAAACUAAUCCCAAAAAUCAAAGAGAAACCGAGCUUCAAAAGUUAAGAAAAAGCUUACCUUUCUAACGCUUUAUAAUUUCUUUUUGAUCGUGAGCCUUAUUCUUCUUCUCUUCUUCUUUCUUUACUCUCAUAAAUUUAGAAGAGUUUCCCCAAGGUUUUUGUCUAAAGCUUCAAAAUACUCUCAAAUAUCACACACUUCGUACUCCCUCUUAUUCAUUCACCUCUAAGCUUCUCACUAUUUUUCUCUGAUUCGGAAUGUCUUUUCCUCCCUUCUCCUGUCCCCUAUUUAUAAGAGUGGGGAGCCAGGAGAGAAAGGUUGUCACCAUUCCGUCAUAUCAUUUUAUCUAAAAGUUGUUACCUUUCAUCAUGUCAUUUACCUAAAAGGUUACUACUUUUCACAUGUCGUUUUAUCUAAAAGCUCUUUUCACAUGUUACUUCAUCUAAAAGGUUACCACUUUUCACAUACUACUUCAUCUAAAAGUUGCCACUUUCUGUGAUGUCACUUCAUCUAAAAGUUACCACUUUUCACAUGUCACUUUAUCUAAAAGUUAU